UACAGAGACUGCAAGCGUUAUUCGGAUUCACUGGGCGUACAGGGUGCGCAGGCGGUUGGGUGUGUCAGAUGUGAAAUCCCGAGGCUCAACCUCGGAACUGCGUCUGAAACUACUCGACUAGAGUACUGGAGAGGGUAACGGAAUUCACGGUGUAGCAGUGAAAUGCGUAGAUAUCGUGAGGAACACCAGAGGCGAAGGCGGUUACCUGGACAGUUACUGACGCUCAGGCACGAAAGCAUGGGGAGCAAAAGGG
rnacentral:rRNA from 1 species